GAAGAACCGCCAGUGCACGAUCUCCAUACUGCCGGUAACUGCAACAAAAACGUUGGGUUCAAAUGGAUCAGAAGAAGCAAACGAAAAAGGAACAAACAGGAGAAGAAAGAAAUAGAGCCGACAUUAAAGCCGACAUUAGGAGUAGAGAGGAGAUCAAUCAAACUGGCUGAGAUUCUGAGAAGGUAUGUUUUAUCGUUUGCUAAUUCUCGAAUUCUGUUCUCCCUUGAUUUUGAGACCAUGAUUAAUAUUUAUGAAUCUCAGAAGGUAUGCAGACUUGAUUUUUGGAAGGUUUGAGGACUUGAUUUCAGGAUAGAUACAAGCCUAGGACAAAUCAAUGGAGAAGGCUAGGUAUGUGCACUUCAAUUCUGGGUGAAAUCCUGCAGUGGAGCAGUCGAAGUGAAUAACACACUGUUCUUUGGGUUUUAAUUUUUUCAAGAGCACAGUAAGAAGUUUGCUUGGACCAGUAGAGAAAAAUCAAAUGCAAAUGGUAAAUAUAGUACGCUGAAGAUUGGGGAUUUUAUUGUCAGCCAGGUUUUCGAGUUAAUGGAACUGCUGAGACUUGGAACACUUUGAUAUAUAGGAUAUUUUGUAUUCUAUUGUGAUCGUACUUAUUUUUAUACUUUUACUUCUUAUAUUGUGAUCUCUUCAUUAGUCAUCUUUAAAUAAGAUGUCUUAUGCAAAGAAGGGCGCCGUUAGUAAGAUGGUGUUUUUGUUUAAAAGGUGCUUUAUAUAUCAGUUUUACUUUCUGGAAUUACUUUACUAAUUAUCUUUUUUUGAAUGAGUGGUAAAUCUGUGAACGAUACUGAAACUGGAUGCACUAAUUCUGCUUUUAAGGCAUAUGUAAAAACCAGAAGUCUAAUAUAAGAAUUUCAUUGGGUAUUGGAGAGCCUAAUAAUGUUGUACAUGUGCUGAUAACGUGGUUUUGUAACGUAGAUCGAAGUACUUAUAGUGUGGUAUUGCCUGUCCAUAAUCAAUGAUAGACAAUACUUGGCAGCCUCAUAAUCAAAUAGGUUUCCUUACAUUUAAUUCCUACUGAGUGUAUAAAACAUUUGAUCUCUUCAUUGUUUCUAUCCAAAUAAAGAAUUUAUGAGUGUAUUCCCUAUUUAUCUUUUAUCUUCUCCAGGUCUGUUGUGGUUAGUGAACUUGCAGAACUCCGGACUAACUCCACUCUUUAAAUCACACCAUCACUGCAAAGCAGAGUCACAAAGACACGCAUAUGAUGAAAGAAAGUGUUAAAAUAAAGAGGCAUCUCUAUUGUACACUGAGAAGGACAGUUCAUAUCCUAACCUAAUCUUCGGUGUACAAGUCAGGAAUACUUGCUUUGAAGACAGUUUUGGUUCCGUUGGCAAAGAACUUUAUUUGAGGAUGUUGGUGAUGGAAAGGUACUACAAAGGGUUUGUGGGAUAGAGGGCAGACAUGGAGAGUGAGGUGCUAUUU